UGAAUAUGUCUGCUUUUUGUAAAGUAAAGUUGGAUUUAGAACAUGCGGUUGUACCAAUGUUGAAUAUUUCUUCUCAAUCUAGGGUUGCAAAGCUUUCCAAAAAAUUCAAGAGAGGUAGAGGAGGAAACCAAUCUGGUAUUUAUUUUGAUCGAUGAAGUUGAAAGCCUUGCUGCUACCACAAAAUCCGCUUUAUCGGGUUCUGAACCUUUAGAUUCUAUUCGGCAGCUCCUUUUCUAAAUGGCACCUUCAAAUUAACAUGCCAGAUGGUGAAUGCGCUACUAACUCAGCUGGAGAAAUCAAAAUCAGCACCAAAUCUGAUAAUUUUGACAACAUCCAAAAUAACUGCUGCUAUUGUGGCAGCCCAUCACAUCUAAGGACAAACGAACUGCUGACCAACACAGCCGUCAACAAUAGACGAAGCAGCUAAUGACACAUCUGAAGACAUCAUGUAGAAUAAUUGGUCCAGACUAAAAAUGUAGGCCAUUUCGCAUGGUGGUAACCGCUUUUGUAUCUGUAUAUAACAUACAGCUGUAGUUAGAUACCAAUUUUUCGAGAAAUGUAAAUGCACGAGCUUGGUUAAAAUA